rfam:Picea glauca, whole genome shotgun sequence.
ACAUGUUUACAGCAUAUCAUUAAUGCACCAGAUCCCAUUAGAACUCCGCAGUUAAGCAUGCUCAGAGUAGAGUAGUACUGGGAUGGGUGACCACUCGGGAAGUCCUAGUAUUUUACAUGCC